rfam:Prunus persica cultivar Lovell chromosome G8, whole genome shotgun sequence.
ACGACCUUACUUGGACAGGAUCUGUUCUAUAGUAAUCGUACCUCUGUAUCCUUGAUUCCUAAGGAGACAGGAAUCCCAACCUGGUGGAUGAAUCAUGACCGUGUGAUCAGAGCGUGAUUAACAUUCUGAUGGUCCCUUGUGAUCCUCAUGACAGUAGAGGAUCGUUCUCAGUCAGUUUUCACUGCCUGGGGUGUGGUUACACGGUUGUCUGACAGGUU